UAAUUCUAGAAAAGUGAGCGGAGCGAAACUUUGAAUAAGGGAGAGUAUUUUUGAAAGAAAAUUUGAAAAGAUGGGAUAAAAUCGUAAAAAGAAAAAAUAUGGCCACGUGGGACGGCCAUGUUAGCAGCCACGACAAAUCAGGACACGCUGCGUGGCGAACGUGCUGACAUCGACUCCACAUGGGAGACCACAUGGGCGAUCUACGUGCCUAAGCAAUUUGACAGUCCAGAUCGUAACCCGCGCGCACGAACAGCUCGAAUCU
rnacentral:lncRNA from 1 species